rnacentral:rRNA from 1 species
GACAGAGGGUGCAAGCGUUGUUCGGAAUUACUGGGCGUAAAGCGCAUGUAGGCGGCCUAGCAGGUCGGAUGUGAAAUCCCUCGGCUCAACCAAGGAAGUGCAUUCGAAACCGCAAGGCUCGAGUCCCGGAGAGGAUGGUGGAAUUCUCGGUGUAGAGGUGAAAUUCGUAGAUAUCGAGAGGAACACCGGCGGCGAAGGCGGCGAUCUGGACGGUGACUGACGCUGAGACGCGAAAGCGUGGGGAGCAAACAGG